UUUCAAGAACACGUGGACAACCUACCCUCCGGACGGGUAUAAACCCGGGAAACUGGGUAUAAUCCCCGAUAGAUCUCGGUCGCUGGAAUGCCCCGAGAUCGAAAGCUCCGGCGCCAGAGGAUGGGUCUGCGGCCUAUCAGGUAGUAGUGGGUGUAGCGUACCUACUAGCCUACGACGGGUACGGGUUGUGAGAGCAAGAGCCCGGAGAUGGAUUCUGAGACACGAAUCCAGGCCCUACGGGGUGCAGCAGGCGCGAAAACUUUACAAUGCCGGCAACGGCGAUAAGGGGACCUCGAGUGCCAGGUUACAAAUCUGGCUGUCGUGAUGCCUAAAAAGCAUUGCAUAGCAAGGGCCGGGCAAGACCGGUGCCAGCAGCCGCGGUAAUAAAAUA
rnacentral:rRNA from 1 species